rnacentral:lncRNA from 1 species
AAAUGAGGAUCGAUGCUAAGUUGUUGAUGGCAGUUUCUUUUCCCGGAGAUGGUGGGAGUGGAACCCUGUCGCCUUCUGACACACAAUAUAUUAGCUUCAUCGUCCAUCUUCGAACUAAAGGUUGGUCGCUAUCGAGGCAAGAGAAAAGGUGAGUGACAGCAUCCACAUUAUCCCGAAUAAGAUUUUGAGCCAUCUUUGACUUAUUGCUAAGCUCAAUCAGCAGGUGUAAGAACUGAACCUUGAAUUGAGGCUCAGAUUUUUCUACGAGCUGCAAAAAGAGACCGACACUGUGCUCGGAUUGCAGCUCCUGCAGCCCCUGAUAUAUCUGAAAUUGCGGUUGCUUACAAGCUUGUACCAGCAGAGCUAGAAU